rnacentral:misc_RNA from 1 species
CGCACCUUGCGCUCCCUGGUAUUCCGGGGAGCACGCCUGUUCGAGUGUCGUGAAAACCCUCAUGUCGGACGCUUUGUUGCGUCUCGGCGUGGUUCUUGGGCUCUGCCGUCUCCUCCUUUGGAACGGCUGGCCUCAAAUGCAUUAGCCGGCCCUCAUGUGGGAUUGGUUCUACUCAGCGUGAUAAUUGUCGAUCGCUGAGGACAUCUUUCGGGAUGGCCAAGACCGCGUAGGAUCGCUUCUAACCCCCCUGUCGUUGCCGGCCUGGCAGCGUACACUUUUCAACUCUGACCUCGAAUCAGGCGGGACUACCCGCUGAACUUAA